rnacentral:lncRNA from 1 species
GUUAGAGACUUGGGAUAUAAAAUGACACCUGUUUCUAGUAAAACUGAAUCGCCUUUUCUUUGGAGAAGUAUUAUGUUUAAUAACUGACUUCCUGUUGAUUCAAACAACAGUUUGCAAGCACUUGUACACAUCCAAUAAAAUAUUUCUGAACCUUGUGCUUGGUCAUCAGUCUGCUCUUUCCAUCUUCCAGCACGUGUGAAAACCUUACACGGCUCACACACUGACAGCUGCCCCCAGCAUGAUUCACCAUGACGCAGCAUUCUGUAAACAACACUAUACUGGUCUCCAUCCAGGGAAGUUUAGCCGUCUGGAGACUUCCUCGACGAAGGUCCUCUCCUCCGCUUUCCUAACCAACCUCUCCAAUUUCCAAUCGCUCUCCUAUCAAUUAAAGAGUAAGAGUCUCAUAGGCUAAGUCUCUCUUCACCCUCACUCAUCUCUGUAUUUACUACUCCUAUUUUCUACAGGAAGAUGAUGCAAACAGUUAUCAUUGCUGUUGGUAGAUAAGUAGGUCUUGAAUUCAUUUUGCACACAAGACCUGUUCUAUCUACCUUUUCUUUUAGGAGGCUAAAAGCAGAGUCAGCUUGACUUCAAGGACUCUAUUUUGUUAGUCUCCAGAAGAGCAUGACAAGUCCAGCUUUUAGAACACUGUCUUCUAGCAUGUCAAGACACUGAGGGAAUGGUCAUUGAUUGCUUUUAUAACUUAAAGCUUUAAGAGAUUUGAACUCUUACAUAUGCUUCCUUCACAGCAACCAAUGGCUAAUGAACCUAAAUGCAAGAUAACACUUGGUGAUUUGGAAAGAGUCCAUCAGUCAGGAUCUUUUCUGUCAAUUAGGAAGUCUCUUGCAAGGAGCAUUAACCAUGAGCAGGGCACAACUAUGCCCCAAGUCAGUAAAAUGCUCCCAAAUAUUUUAGAAAUGCUACUAAACAGUUCACGUCUUACUACUAAAGAGCUUCUUUUCUGCAAUUCCCCAAUCCCAGAAAAACACAUUAAGCCCAACUUACUAAUUGAUUGCCUUUUUCUUCAUUUUCCCCAGUUUGACAGAUUCAGGGUUUUUCUGCUCUAUUUCCACCUCACUCAAAUCCUGGUGGAAUUAAACUGGCAUUUAUGUGAGCUAUAUUUUUGUUAUCAUUGUGACCGUUAUAAUGCUAUGGCCUGA